CGCAGUAAAAAUUAAUGGGUACAUGACAGAUAUGUUUAACGUUAAUUUGGGUGUGAAACAAGGAUGUAAAUUAUCUCCGACUUUGUUCUCAGUUUAUGUAAACGAUCUGGCAGAUGAAAUCAACUCUUUGAAUUUGGGUAUACCAAUUAAUGCAGAUAGUAUGAUUUCGAUAUUAUUAUACGCAGAUGACAUUGUUCUAUUGGCGCCCAACGAAGAAUCACUUCAGCAAAUGUUAAAUAUUGUUCAUAUAUGGUGUUUGAAAUGGAGAUUAUGUAUAAAUUUUGACAAAACUGGUGUAGUGCAUUUCAGAAGUGGAUCCUCACCUCGAUCUAACUUUGAUUUUUCGUGUGGAAAUACCGUUGUAAAGUACGACAGCAAAUAUAGAUAUCUUGGAAUGUGGAUAGAUGAACACCUAGACUGGAAGUUUACGGUUAGAGAAGUAAGAAAAUCGGCAAGUCGAGCUUUGUCGGCACUGUAUACCAAAUUUAUAGCCUGUGGUGGAAUGGACUUUGAUAUAUAUGAAAAAUUAUAUGAAAACCUUGUUCAACCUGUAUUGUUGUAUGGAUCAAGUAUCUGGGGUAUAUCGGAACAUAAGCAACUAGAAACUGUGCAAAAUAGGGCAUGUAGAUACUUUUUAGGGGCCUUUAAAAACUCCACCAAUCUAGCCGUUCGUGGAGAUAUGGAAUGGACAACAGUUAAAACAAAACAGAACAUUGAAGUUAUGAGAUUAUUUUUCAAACUUUCUAAUUUAGAGGAUGAUAGAAUAGUUCAGACUAUCCAUGAAACUAGUAAGACAAAACAACGAUCUUGGCAUUCACGUGUAUUAGCUUUACUGAGAAAAUCUGAAUUGAACUUUUUAAUCAAUCUCAACAUAACAACCAAACAAAAGCUACGAAUGGCUCAAGACAAAUUAACAGCUAUAGAUCAGGAGAAAUGGUUAAUUGAUGUUUUUGACGAUAAAAAUUCUGUAAAUGGAAACAAGCUUAGAACAUUCAGAAGGUUUAAAAACAAUUGCAAAACUAGUCUAUUUGUUAAAACAAUCAACUUUCGUGACCAUCGACGCAUUUUAUCAAACUUUCGAUGUGGAUCGCUGCCGCUUGCGGUUGAGACCGGACGUUACACCAAGCCGACCACUCCAUUAUGUGAUAGACUUUGUCUUUUCUGCAAUAACAAUUUUAUAGAGACAGAACAACAUUUUUUAAUAGACUGUAAUUUUUAUUCAGAUAUAAGAGAAGAACUUUUUAAUUAUAUUAAUGCUUUGAAUAACACUUUUAAUGCUUUUAACUCUGAUGAAAAAUUUGAUUUUAUUAUGAACUGUGAUCAUGCUCAGGUUUUAUUAGCCAAGACAUUAC
rnacentral:lncRNA from 1 species